rnacentral:rRNA from 1 species
GACGAACGUUGGCGGCGUGCUUAACACAUGCAAGUCGAACGGUAAGGCUCCAGCUUGCUGGGGUACACGAGUGGCGAACGGGUGAGUAACACGUGGGUGACCUGCCCUGCACUUCGGGAUAAGCCUGGGAAACUGGGUCUAAUACCGGAUAGGACCGCACCGUGAGGGUGUGGUGGAAAGUUUUUUCGGUGUGGGAUGGGCCCGCGGCCUAUCAGCUUGUUGGUGGGGUAAUGGCCUACCAAGGCGGCGACGGGUAGCCGGCCUGAGAGGGUGGACGGCCACAUUGGGACUGAGACACGGCCCAGACUCCUACGGGAGGCAGCAGUGGGGAAUAUUGCACAAUGGGCGGAAGCCUGAUGCAGCGACGCCGCGUGGGGGAUGGCGGCCUUCGGGUUGUAAACUCCUUUCACCAUCGACGAAGGGUUUCUGACGGUAGAUGGAGAAGAAGCACCGGCUAACUACGUGCCAGCAGCCGCGGUAAUACGUAGGGUGCGAGCGUUGUCCGGAAUUACUGGGCGUAAAGAGCUCGUAGGUGGUUUGUCGCGUCGUCUGUGAAAUUCCGGGGCUUAACUCCGGGCGUGCAGGCGAUACGGGCAUAACUUGAGUACUGUAGGGGAGACUGGAAUUCCUGGUGUAGCGGUGAAAUGCGCAGAUAUCAGGAGGAACACCGGUGGCGAAGGCGGGUCUCUGGGCAGUAACUGACGCUGAGGAGCGAAAGCAUGGGGAGCGAACAGGAUUAGAUACCCUGGUAGUCCAUGCCGUAAACGGUGGGCGCUAGGUGUGGGUUUCCUUCCACGGGAUCCGUGCCGUAGCUAACGCAUUAAGCGCCCCGCCUGGGGAGUACGGCCGCAAGGCUAAAACUCAAAGGAAUUGACGGGGGCCCGCACAAGCGGCGGAGCAUGUGGAUUAAUUCGAUGCAACGCGAAGAACCCUACCUGGGCUUGACAUAUACAGGAUCGCGCCAGAGAUGGUGUUUCCCUUGUGGCUUGUAUACAGGUGGUGCAUGGUUGUCGUCAGCUCGUGUCGUGAGAUGUUGGGUUAAGUCCCGCAACGAGCGCAACCCUUGUCUUAUGUUGCCAGCACGUUGUGGUGGGGACUCGUAAGAAACUGCCGGGGUUAACUCGGAGGAAGGUGGGGAUGACGUCAAAUCAUCAUGCCCCUUAUGUCCAGGGCUUCACACAUGCUACAAUGGUCGGUACAGUGGGUUGCCAGUCCGUGAGGGCGAGCUAAUCCCGCAAAGCCGGUCUCAGUUCGGAUCGGGGUCUGCAACUCGACCCCGUGAAGUCGGAGUCGCUAGUAAUCGCAGAUCAGCAACGCUGCGGUGAAUACGUUCCCGGGCCU